AGCCUGACUGAGUGCUAGGGAAUUGGGCUGCGUGUGCAUGCGCUGUUCGUAGGGAGUGGGUUGUAUGAACGGAUUUGUUUGUUUAUUGAUGUUUGUGUUUGUCUCACAGCAGUGGUCUUGUCCGGCCUGUUUGCAAACAUGCUUGUACACAAGGUGGGACCCGUCAGCAGGAGGAUUCAGGCAACCGAGAUGCAGGGGGAGACAGGGACCGCUGUCGCCAGGAGGUGCUACGGCACACAACAACAAACGACCCUUAAAAAAAAAGUGGCUUCCACCGGACAGAGUGACAGGAAAAGCAGGGAGGCAAAGAUCUUCAUCUGCACCUGAUCCUGGGACGCGAGGGCUGCUGCUCGGCCUGCACUACAUUUUAUUGAAGGAUGUUUUGAAUUGCUCUAAAAAGUGAGAGUCCAACAUGAAAGGGAACGAUGGAGGCGGCUCCAUCAGGGUGACGGUUUGAGGGUCGUCAGAUAAACAACCAUCACUGAUCAGACGCAAAAUGCAGGACGACCCAAGCGCACCCGCCCGCAGCAGCGCACACACUCACUCGGCCUCUUAUCCUUGACAGCUCUUACGCUCAUAUUAAGAUGUACUUCAGUGAUUUCAAGGCUGUUUCAGCCAUAAACUCUCAUUUAGUGGGGAAUUAGCUUGGGUCGGAGUCCUGUUACGCUACUGUGCUUAACAGCAUUAGACCAUUCUUGUGGCUUUUAAAUAACAGCAUGGAUGGAUAGUACCAUUCAAAUAAACCUCCACCAUCCUACUUCGUUGCGCCACGUGUAAUGGCCAAGCAUUCAUUGUUUUGCGUAAUUGCACUGCCAUCGUGAUGUCGUCUGAGUGCCGUGCAGAGCUCUCGGAUUCUAAUUACACAUACUUAUGGUUUGCUAUAUUACGAUGUGCUGAAGAAAAUGGAUUUAUGCAUCAAUCAUCCCAUUUCACAAUAA